GGCCUAACACAUGCAAGUCGAACGCACUCUUCGGAGUGAGUGGCAGACGGGUGAGUAACGCGUGGGAACCUUCCCAAUGGUACGGAAUAACUCCGGGAAACCGGUGCUAAUACCGUAUAAGCCCCUCGGGGGAAAGAUUUAUCGCCAUUGGAUGGGCCCGCGUCGGAUUAGCUAGUUGGUAAGGUAAUGGCUUACCAAGGCUACGAUCCGUAGCUGGUCUGAGAGGAUGAUCAGCCACACUGGGACUGAGACACGGCCCAGACUCCUACGGGAGGCAGCAGUAGGGAAUCUUGGACAAUGGGCGAAAGCCUGAUCCAGCCAUGCCGCGUGAGUGAAGAAGGCCUUAGGGUUGUAAAGCUCUUUUGGCGGGGACGAUAAUGACGGUACCCGCAGAAUAAGCCCCGGCUAACUUCGUGCCAGCAGCCGCGGUAAUACGAAGGGGGCUAGCGU
rnacentral:rRNA from 1 species